rnacentral:rRNA from 1 species
GACAGAGGGUGCAAACGUUGUUCGGAAUUACUGGGCGUAAAGCGCGUGUAGGCGGCUAAGUAAGUCGGGCGUGAAAUCCCACGGCUCAACCGUGGAAGUGCACUCGAAACUGCAUAGCUAGAGUCCUGGAGAGGAAGGUGGAAUGCUUGGUGUAGAGGUGAAAUUCGUAGAUAUCAAGCGGAACACCGGUGGCGAAGGCGGCAUCCUGGACCAAUUCUGACGCUGAGGAGCGAAAAGCCAGGGGAGCAAACGGG